rnacentral:rRNA from 1 species
CUACGGGCCGCUCCAGUCGAGAAUCUUCGGCAAUGGACGCAAGUCCGACCGAGCGACGCCGCGUGCGGGAUGAAGGCCUUCGGGUUGUAAACCGCUGUCAGUUGGGAGGAAAUCUUUGGGGGUUCUCCCCCAUGGUUGACCUAGCUUCAGAGGAAGUGCGGGCUAAGUUGGUGCCAGCAGCCGCGGUAAGACGAACCGCACGAACGUUAUUCGGAAUCACUGGGCUUAAAGGGUGCGUAGGCGGCCAUGCAAGUUGGGUGUGAAAUCCCUCGGCUCAACCGAGGAAUUGCGCUCAAAACUGCAUGGCUCGAGGGAGACAGAGGUGAGCGGAACUUGCGGUGGAGCGGUGAAAUGCGUUGAUAUCGCAAGGAACACCAGUUGCGAAAGCGGCUCACUGGGUCUUUUCUGACGCUGAGGCACGAAAGCUAGGGGAGCGAACGGGAUUAGAUACCCCAGUAGUC